AUUGAACGCUGGCGGCAGGCCUAACACAUGCAAGUCGAGCGGCUGCAGGGAGCUUGCUCCUGGAUUCAGCGGCGGACGGGUGGGUAAUGCCUAGGAAUCUGCCUGGUAGUGGGGGCUAACGUCCGGACACGGGCGCUAAUACCGCAUACGUCCUGAGGGAGAAAGGGGGGGAUCUUCGGACCUCCCGCCAUCACAUGAGCCUAGGUCGGAUUAGCUAGUUGGUGGGGUAAAGGCCUACCAAGGCGACGAUCCGUAGCUGGUCUGAGAGGAUGAUCAGUCACACUGGAACUGAGACACGGUCCAGACUCCUACGGGAGGCAGCAGUGGGGAAUAUUGGACAAUGGGCGAAAGCCUGAUCCAGCCAUGCCGCGUGUGUGAAGAAGGUCUUCGGAUUGUAAAGCACUUUAGGUUGGGAGGAAGGGCAGUAAGUUAAUACCUUGCUGUUCUGACGGUACCAACAGAAUAAGCACCGGCUAACUUCGUG
rnacentral:rRNA from 1 species